rnacentral:rRNA from 1 species
UACGGGGGGAGCAAGCGUUGUUCGGAUUUACUGGGCGUAAAGGGCGCGUAGGCGGUCGUGACAAGUCACUUGUGAAAUCUCCGGGCUUAACUCGGAACGGUCAAGUGAUACUGUCGUGCUAGAGUACAGAAGGGGCAACUGGAAUUCUCGGUGUAGCGGUGAAAUGCGUAGAUAUCGAGAGGAACACCCUGCGGCAAGGCGG